rnacentral:rRNA from 1 species
UACGAAGGGGGGCUAGCGUUGCUCGGAAUCACUGGGCGUAAAGCGCACGUAGGUGGGUCGUUAAGUCGGGGGGUGAAAUCCUGGAGCUCAACUCCAGAACUGCCUUCGAUACUGGCGAUCUUGAGUCCGGAAGAGGUGAGUGGAACUCCUAGUGUAGAGGUGGAAUUCGUAGAUAUUAGGAAGAACACCAGUGGCGAAGGCGGCUCACUGGUCCGGUACUGACGCUGAGGUGCGAAAGCAUGGGGGAGCGAACAGG